AACGAACGCUGGCGGCAUGCCUAACACAUGCAAGUCGAACGAGACCUUCGGGUCUAAUGGCGCACGGGUGCGUAACGCGUGGGAAUCUGCCCUUCGGUUGGGAAUAACUGAGAGAAAUUUCAGCUAAUACCUUAUAAUGUCUUCGGACCAAAGAUUUAUCGCCGAGGGAUGAGCCCGCGUAGGAUUAGGUAGUUGGUGGGGUAAUGGCCUACCAAGCCGACGAUCCUUAGCUGGUCUGAGAGGAUGAUCAGCCACACUGGGACUGAGACACGGCCCAGACUCCUACGGGAGGCAGCAGUGGGGAAUAUUGGACAAUGGGCGAAAGCCUGAUCCAGCAAUGCCGCGUGAGUGAUGAAGGCCUUAGGGUUGUAAAGCUCUUUUACCCGGGAUGAUAAUGACAGUACCGGGAGAAUAAGCUCCGGCUAACUCCGUG
rnacentral:rRNA from 1 species